GUCCUUGCCGUAAACGAUGUAUACUUGGUGUAGCUGGACUCAACCCUGGCUGUGCCGUAGCAAACGCGUUAAGUAUACCGCCUGGGAAGUACGCUCGCAAGGGUGAAACUCAAAAGAAUUGACGGGGACCCGCACAAGCAGUGGAGCAUGUGGUUUAAUUCGAUGCAACGCGAAGAACCUUACCCAGGCUUGACAUGCAGUAGACAGCGUCAGAAAUGACGUCUUCCUUCGGGACUGCUGCACAGGUGCUGCAUGGCUGUCGU
rnacentral:rRNA from 1 species